AGUGAACGCUGGCGGCAUGCCUAACACAUGCAAGUCGAACGGCAGCACAGUAUGUUCUUGCUCGUAGGGGGGGCCGGUCGCGGGAGUGUUACGUAUGCACAGGACUCUUAUUUUGGGAGGGCGCUAACGAAGCGGGACUAAUACUACAACCGAACAACACCUAAGAGUGGAAGCACGUCAGCUCCCGCCCUUUCGCGUUCGCAUGUGCCGAUGUCGGUUUAGCUAGUUGGCGGGGCAAAGGCCGACCAAGGCGACGAUCCGUAGCUGGUCUGAGAGGAGGACCAGCCACACUGGAACUGAGACACGGCCCAGACUCCUACGGGAGGCAGCAGUGGGGAAUAUUGGACAAUGGGCGCAAGCCUGAUCCAGCAAUGCCGCGUGGGUGAAGAAGGCCUUCGGGUUGUAAAGCCCUUUUGUUGGGAAAGAAAAGCAUGAGGUUAAUACGCCGCUGGUCUGACGGUACCCAAAGAAUAAGCACCGGCUAACUACGUG
rnacentral:rRNA from 1 species